rnacentral:rRNA from 1 species
CUACGGGUCGCACCAGUGGGGAAUAUUGCGCAAUGGGCGAAAGCCUGACGCAGCAACGCCGUGUGAGGGAUGAAGGCUUUCGGGUCGUAAACCUCUGUCAGAAGGGAAGAACGGGUAUUGGUCUAAUAGGCCUUUAUUUUGACGGUACCUUCAGAGGAAGAACCGGCUAACUCCGUGCCAGCAGCCGCGGUAAUAGCGGAGGGUGCAAGCGUUAUUCGGAAUUACUGGGCGUAAAGCGCACGUAGGCCGCUUUGUAAGUCAGGGGUGAAAUCCCACGGCUCAACCGUGGAACUGCCUUUGAAACUGCAGAGCUUGAAUCCUGGAGAGGGUGGCGGAAUUCCUGGUGUAGGAGUGAAAUCCGUAGAUAUCAGGAGGAACACCGGUGGCGAAGGCGGCCACCUGGACAGGUAUUGACGCUGAGGUGCGAAAGUGUGGGGAGCAAACAGGAUUAGAUACCCCCGUAGUC